GAUGAACGCUAGCGGCAGGCUUAAUACAUGCAAGUCGAGGGGCAGCAUGUCCCGUAGCAAUACGGGAUGAUGGCGACCGGCAAACGGGUGCGGCACACGUACAGAACCUUCCUUCGAGCGGGGAAUAGCCCAGAGAAAUUUGGAUUAAUACCCCAUAGUACAACGGAGUGGCAUCACUUUGUUGUUAAAGAUUUAUCACUUGAAGAUGGCUGUGCGGCUGAUUAGGUAGUUGGCGGGGUAACGGCCCACCAAGCCUGCGAUCAGUAACUGGUGGGAGAGCACGACCAGUCACACGGACACGGAGACACGGGCCCGACUCCUACGGGAGGCAGCAGUAAGGAAUAUUGGUCAAUGGACGAAAGUCUGAACCAGCCACGCCGCGUGGAGGAUGAAGGUCCUCUGGAUUGUAAACUUCUUUUAUAUGGGACGAAAAAAGGUUUUCUAACUCGUCUGACGGUACCAUAUGAAUAAGCACCGGCUAACUCCGUGCCAGCAGCCGCCGUAACAC
rnacentral:rRNA from 1 species